UAGCUUUUUGUCUGUGAAGCUUCUAUGUCUUCGCUUUCUUUCGAUAACAGUGGCCCGUCGUCGCAGCAUUGCGCUGGAAGGUGGUCUGGGGACACACGAAUUAUAAUGCUUACGGGAAUCUGUAGUAUUGCUUUUUUGAGGGACUCUGCCUUUACCCUCUUGAUUUAAUACUCCAGAUGGCUGUGACCUCGCCAGAUGGGUCGCCUGCUCCUGUUGCUUUGAUGACUCUCGUCUCAGCAAACUCCAGCGGGGUUGGUUCCCGGGCUACGAUCUCAGAUCAGCAGGAGUUUGCGUCCCUCUGAAACGGAAAGUAUGAAUUGGCGCUUCUGUCAAACGAUUUUUCUCUGGGGAAGGACAAGCUGCAGAUUUGUGCAUUGUUGAACAGCGGUACAAGGUUUCUUGGCUACGAUGGUUAUGGUGACUGCUCCUAUUUCGGUGUCCAAUGUCAACACGGUUUUAUUGGAUAGCGAAUGAGGCCCUUCCCUGGUCGGAUGUCAAACCGGAGUUCGAGCAGACGGCAACGUUAUCAGCGAGCUACUUCCAGAAGCUCAAUGUGGCACUUUAGGUCAGUGGUCCACCUGGAGUCUCAUUUAAACCCCAACAUGCCAUGCUCAAGCUCAGAGGCGAGAGUGGCGCAGAGCAAACCUACCUUGAGCCUAUGACAGGGAAGCAGCACGAGCCCACUUAGGACUUCGCCCAGAUGGUGGUGAAGCUAAACCGUCCGGGAGUCUACACUGUUGACCUAAUUGUCGGUGAUGAUGUCAUGGAGAAUUCAUUUGUGUGGCCGUUGGUGACUGUGGAUCUGAACCUAUAAGAGGGUCUUCAAAUUUGCUCCCACGGCGGAGAUUGCCCACAUCUUCUUCCGGCAGCCCGAGAGGAUGCAUCCGAAUUAUCUCUCGAUGAUGUUACAUAGUCCUGACCUUGCUUCCACUGGUCGGGUUCUUGGUGGACCUCCCUCCAGCUUCUCGGUGUCAACCUAAAGAAUCUUCCACUUAGUGGAUUCCCGCUGGUUGCCGAUGCUGGGUUCCUACUUUGCGAGCACACUGGAAUCUAUAACUGUAGCUUAUGUUUUGGUUUAAGCUGAGACUGUUCACGACUUUGCAGAUGCUCGGAUUUCUAGGUUUGUUGACUCACGCCUAGAUUUCAUAUUCCCUUCCACUUGGCGGACCUUCCUUCAGCUUCCAAGGUGAGAACAUCAUAGUAACAAUGCCCACCUUAGUUUUCGGUUUUCAGUGCAGGUUUCAAUCUUGCCCAAGAUUUGAACUCUGAGCCCAGUUUUGGUGUCUUUGGAACAACGUUUGCAAUUUUUGUCAAUAGAAGAACAAAAGAGAAGAAUUUUUUAAACCUUUUUCACCUUUUCUUCUUUUGCAUGGUCCAGUCUCUUCAUGGUGAUUUGUAGCAGAAGUUAGGGCAGAAACAUCCACAAAAGGGUAUAUCUAAGCUUGCCACAUUUCAAUCAACUAGAUGCUUUUAUAUGUGGCCUGAAGCAAUGUGUUACAUCUGUAUCUUUUGUUUUUGGUCUUGUAAUUAGAAGAUGAAAGGCCAAAACGAAUCAGAGCUUUGCAGUAAUACAGUAGCUGAGAAGGAAUUGCUCUA